AUACCUACUUGGCGUCGGGAUACCGUGAUCAUGCAAGCGGUUCCCUCGGGGUGCGGUUGCUCCAUUGUACUGCGGAGUGGUUGACCCUUGCGAUUAUUUUUAUAUUUAAUAAGUUUCACUUCUACCGUGUGUGACUUGCACACACACACACACACA